AAAACUUUCAACAACGGAUCUCUUGGUUCUGGCAUCGAUGAAGAACGCAGCAAAAUGCGAUAAGUAAUGUGAAUUGCAGAAUUCAGUGAAUCAUCGAAUCUUUGAACGCACAUUGCGCCCGCCAGUAUUCUGGCGGGCAUGCCUGUUCGAGCGUCA
rnacentral:rRNA from 19 species